rnacentral:lncRNA from 1 species
CGCGCGCACCUGCAGACGCUGCACGUCUUAAGUUUCGAAACGGCCCCCCUCUCCGCCCUGGGGGAGCCGGGAGGAUGUGCAGCCCCAGUCCUCCUGCUCGGCGGAGCCUCGCGCGCGCAGAGCCUAGCGCGAUUCGCGCCCUCAUUACUACUACAAAGCGCGGGCCAGACCAAUCCCCUUUCUAAUGCACCAUUUUCGACUGAGAACAUCAAGAGGCCAGAAACUUCCAAGUCAGCUUGCAGACGCAGACGCCUCCUGGGGUCCUGGCUUUAAGAACCAGAUGCCAACACUCCCGGACAGUUUAUGGCAUCCGGAUCCCUCAAGGGUGCUCAUCUGCAGUUGAGAGUCUAAUAAAUGGCAUUAACAAAGCGUUUCAGCGACUACCACGGCUUCACAGUGGCUCCUCCCCUGCCCUGCCACCAUUCAGGCUGUAAUUCCUUCCAGGAUUCCCGCACCAUCCUGUGUGCCCAGAGCUCUCUAGAGCACCAGGAUUCUGUGUGAAGAAUACAGAGACAGACGUUCCAUUUCAAAGAAAAAAGAGCAACACGAAGGCCCUCUUUAAGGAGAGAGUAAACAUUCACUUUAGGUAAAAAAUAGUCUUUUACACGCCUGUGCACGGCACACCUCUUUUGCUGUUCACCUUGAGCCCAAGAGUUUGGAAAGGCUGCCCCCAUUUCAGAGAGGAAGAAACGCAGGCACACGUGAAUGACAGACUCCUCUGUGGUGGCCUAGACUCCAGCCAACACUUCCUAGGACAGCCUGCCAUUGUGCAAAGUCACCAUGUAACAAAUGCAGACAUCUCUGAGAUCACCAUGCAGUGAGGAAGUCUAAGCUGGUGGCAUGAAGAGGCCACAUGGAAAGGGCUAAAAAAGGGGCCAGCCUCAGUCAUCCCAGCUGAGCACCUGGCUGGGAAUAAAAGAGGACUCCGUGGAUGUCCAGCCCAGUAAGAUGACCUCAGCCCCAGCCACCAACUGACCAAGCACACAAGACAUCGUGAGGCUGCCUGCUGGAGCCUGGCCAGUGGGACUGUAGAGUAACUCAUUGUCGUGCAGGAACUCCUGGGAUGGUGUUGCCCAGUGACACAAUCCCAGUGUGGCCAUUUCUGAUCCCGAGAAAGCAGUCAGGAGUGGGUGGAUGCAGUUACAGUUCAUCAAGUCCUGCUAGUUCAAGUCAUGAGUCCUGAAUUCUCCAGGAGGAGCCACUAAAGAAAUGCAGAAGCAGGCAAUCCUUGCAAUAAGGCCAGCAAACUGCCAGUGUGAAGGAUGCCCAGGUAACCUGCCCAUGCCAGAACGGCCAGGAGAUGGUGGAACCAGAAUCUAAGCCCACGCCCAUCUGACCUCAAAGUCUGUGCUCCUGAGGUUCGCACCGAGUUGCCUCCUAAGACUUGCUGAAACUGGAUCACGUCCAUUUACCCAUCUCUGAGAGAAAUGCAAGCUUUAAAAAAGGAAAUAUUUACUAUGGAUAUUUUACAAUAGUUCCAAAACAUGAAAGUUUUAAAUAAGAUAUUCUUAACCAUCCUCACCACAUCUUCAGGUUCCCUUACAGCCACUGUGUUUUGACGAUUGCCCAUUAGAAAAAAAGACUAUGCUUUCUGUAGGUUUUAAAGGAAUGGUGGUGAAAUAAGGAGCAUUCCCUGAGCAGAUCUUGCCUGCGGGCACACCUCUGAGCAUUGGACCAGGCGAGAAGAGCCCAUGUGUUGGCUGCUUUGGGAUCCCAGCACUGCCAAUGGCAGGUGGGCUGUGGCCCAGGGAGAGAACCUAGCCUUUUGCAUUCUCUUGCCCCAUUUGAAAAUGGAGACGAUAGUGGCGCCCCGCUCAGUGUUAUUUUGAGGAUUUGAAUGUAUCUCAGAUGUAGUACCUGGAAAAAUAUAAGUGCUCAGUAAAUACGGUUGCCAGAUAAAAUGCAGGAAACCUAUUUAAAUUUAAGUUUUGGCUGGACAAUGAAUAGAAUAAUUUUUCUUAGUAUGAGUAUGUCCUUAUAUUUCAUCUGCUAAAUUUAGCAACCUCCUCAGUAAACGAUCACUACAAUUGCAGAAACGCCUUAUGACAGAUAUAGUAAAUCUGUAAAGAAAUAGGAACUUGCAUUUAUUUUUACUAAGCUCUGACUGGUUAAGAUAACUGGGCAAGAGAAGAUAUCUUCGACUAAACUUGCAGCACAUAGAGUAUAGAGAUUCAAAUUUGAAGUCCUAUAGGACUAGAAUGGCCAGAGGUGAACUGUAGCGAGCUUAUCUAAAGAGGACCAAUUUCAAAAGUUCCUCAGAGACUUAAAUGGGCCCACAGACCCCUCCUGUGUCUUUGCAUAAGCCAGCUCGUUAUAUCAGUUAUAAGUUGAUUUCCAGAGAAAUGUACCCUGGAGAUCCCUCUCCCACUUGAAAUAGGACUGGCCAAUCCAGAUGUCCCCCAGGUGAUGUUGGCUCAAAUGGAGCUCCAUAUAUUGGAGAAUCUAUUCAAGAAAACAAGCAAAAGUAUUUGUGACUGAGUUAGCUAAUGCCAGCUGGUAUCUUGAACAAACCCAGAUCUCUAACAUGCUAGUUUAUUUCGUAGUGUAAAAUGUGUGUUACUGAUGGGCAGACAGCUCUCAUUCAAGCAGUGACAGAUGUAAGCUCUUCCCAUUUUUGUGGCCCCAUUGUAUUCGGCGUGUGGCUUCCAAGUUGCCUGGGAUCAUCUCCACCCAGACUAAGGAAGAGGAAAGAGCUUGGACAACUGCACUUGGCUGGUUUUUAUGGAUCAGGCAAGGAAUUGGCUCCAACACAUUAGCUCACAUUCCAUUGGUUAGAACUGGGUUUCUCAACUAUUAGUACAGGGUGAGUGUAGGGUUUUGGCACCAUGGGCAUUUGAGCUGGCCAAAGGCUAAUCAGAGUUAGAACAAAGCCACAAAGCCUGUGAAUGGUGUUUAUUGUUGUGAGGAGCUGUCUUGUGCAUUGUGGAAUGUUCAGCAGGAUGCUCUCUGGCCUCAGAGACUCACUAGAUUCCCAUAGAACUCUCCUCUCUCCUCUAGUUGUGACAACCACAGUUGCCUCCUCUCCAGACAUUGCUAGAUGUCCCCGGGAGGCAAAAUUGUCCUGGUUGAGAACCACUGUGUUAGAACUCGGUCACAUGGCCAUACCUAACUGCAAGGGAGGGGGCUGGAAGAUCUAGACGAGUAGUAUGCCAGGAAGAAAAUAGAACUGAUUUAGAGGCUGCUGGCCAGUCACUUUCAGUGACCUUCAGCAUACUUAUUCCUCUGCAGCUGUCAGGACACUCAUGCCUGUUUCUGAGAUGUUUCCUGUGUGAGGGGACAUAGUGACUAUUGGAGGGGUGACAUGUUGGACUUGGGUAGGGUGAAGAGGAUUGGAAACCACCAUCAUGUUUGGCAGCAUUGAAUGUUUAUGACUAUUUGAAUAGUUGUGACAAGGGUACAGUGAAGGAGGAAGUAACCAUUUUUGAAUACCCUUUUACAAUUUGCAAAGCACUUUUAAAGGUAAGAGUGAGUUCCUAGACCAUAUUAGGGUGAGAAUGGACAUUGUUGGCUGCCAUAUCAUUGGGCAGGGGCUUUGAGAUUUUUGUCUUCAGAAGGCAGAUUAGAUUUGGAGUAGAAGGAGAAAUGUAAAGACCUGGUAUCUGAGUGUGUUUGCAGAGGGGAAUUGUCGUUUGGAAGCACAAGAAAGGGAAUGGCCCGUUGGCACAUAUGGUACAUUGUGUUUUCAUAUAAUUAUACCUGAAUGAAAGCAAGAGGAAACGUGUAGGAAGCUGUUUACAUAGUCCUUUUAAUAAUGUUUACAUGAGUUAAUGAACAUGCAAACGUAUCUGAUGAAAACAUGUCAGUAGUGAAACAGCCUUGUGAAGAAUCAGAUCUUACCUCAGGCUGGAAAAAAGGACUGGUUUUCCAAGCUCACAAAUUGCAGCCAGUGUGAAUAGUAGCACAAAUGACUGAGCUUUAAGACAUCCAUCCAUCCAUCUAUCCAUCCCCUCAUCCAUCCAUCCCCUCAUCCAUCCACCCAUCCAUCCAUCCCUUCAUCCAUCACUCCAUCCAGCCAUCCGUCCCUUCAUCAAUCCAUCCAUCCCUUCAUCCAUCCAUCCAUCCUUCCUUCCAUUCAUCCCUUCAUCCAUCCGUCCAUCCAUCCAUCCAUCCACUCAUUCAUCCCUUCAUCCAUCCAUCCAUCCAUCCUUCCUUCCUUCCAUUCAUCCCUUCAUCCAUCCGUCCAUCCAUCCAUCCACCCAUUCAUCCAUCCAUUCCUUCAUCAACUCAUCCCUUCAUCCAUCGUCUACCAUUCAUUCACCCCUUCAUCCAUCCAUUCAUUUAUCCAUCCGUCCAUUUACUUCCAUCCAUCCCUUUAUCCAUCCAUUCACCCAUUCAUCCCUUUAUCCAUAUGUCCAUUCCUCCAUCCAUCCAUCCAUCCAUUUACUCUUCAUCCCUUCAUCCAUUUUUCCAUCCAUUCAUCCAUUCAUCUUUUCAUCCAUCCAUCCAUUGAUCUAUCCAUCCAUCCAUUGCUCCAUCCAACCAUCCAUCCAUCCCUUCGUCCCUUCAUCCAUCCAUCCAUUCAUCCCAUCAUCCAUUGAUCACUUCAUCCAUCCAUCCUUCCAUCCUUCCAUCCAUUCUUCCAUUCAUCCAUCCAUGUGUUCAGCAAGUAUUUACUGAAUGCCUAUUAUGUGCCAAGCACUCUCCUCAGAACUUAGGAAAUACCAGGAAACAAAAUCAACAACAAUCCCUCACCACCUGGAUAUUACAUUUUGGUGGGAAGAGACAAAGAAAUAAAAUUGGUGAGUGAAUCACAUAGGUUAUUAGAAGGUGAUAAAGGUGUAGGUGAUAAAGGAGAAGUGCCAGGAGCAAGGAUUGGGUACAGUUGUGAAUAAGGUGGCCCCAAUAGGUUGCACUGAGAAGGUGACAUUUGCACAGAGACUUGAAGAAAGGAAGGAGAGAACAUGACUGUACCUGGGUAACAGCAUUUGUGGAAGAGGGAACAGCCAGUGUAAAAGUUCCAAGGCAUGAGUGCCUGGUACAUACAUGGAACAUCGAGGCCAGGGUGGCAGAAACGCGGUGAGUCCAGGAAGGGAAUAGGAACUAAGUGUAGGAAGGUGUACAGUGGGGUGGUGUGGGGGUGGAAUUGUGGCAGCCAGAUGGUGUUGGCCUAAGGCCUCUUGGCCCUUGUUAGGACUUGGUUUACCAUGGCGCAACACAUCCAUGAGAUUGGCAAAAAUUAAAAAGUCUGACAACAGAAAAUCUGGUAAUCUGGUGAGGAUGUGGAGCAGUGGGAAUUCUCCAAUACUGCCAGGGAGCAUGGGCAUCAAUCCCACCACACUGGAAUGCAAAGGGGCAUUCUGAGUAGAACUGAAGAUGUGCCCAUCCUUGACCCCACAGUUCCAGCCAUGGGCAUGCGCAUGAAUGUGCACACGUGUUGACUGCGGCAUUUGUUUGUCAUUAUGAAAACAUCUAAGUUUCCAUCUAUGGGAGAGGGGAUAAUGUGGGAGUGCCCAACAGUGGAGUUCUAGAGAGCAGUAAAAAUAAAUGGACUAGAGCUGCACACGUCAAAAUGGAUGAAGAUAAAAGACAUAAGGAUGGAAGAAGACCACCUGGCCACAGAAGUAUAUGUCCAAUAUGAUGCUGGUGUAUCCAGAGUGUUCAAACAAACAACACAACACUACUCAUUGUUUCCAACGUGAGUAUGAAAGUAUGGAGCAGUGCGGAGGGCCAGGAGUGCUGAAUCCACAUGGUUACUUCUCCAGGCGGGGGCCGAGGACCAGGGCUGGAGGUUUACUCCAGGAGCUUCAGUGGUGCAUGCUGAAUGUGCUGUUUCUUGGGCUGGGGGACAGAGAUGUGCAUGCUGUUAUACACUCUAUAUUGAAAUGAUUGUAUAACAAUAUACUAAUUUAUCAUGUAAUAAAUUUGACCAGAAAGAAACAACUGUUCUGUGGCUGCUUCCAUGACUGGAUUUCACGUUGUAGGUUUCUAAGCAGAGAGUCCAAGGAAAACCAAAGGAGCGGCGGAAGGAUAAGCCUCCCGGGUGUUCUGGGAGUGUCCCUUUGCUUGGG